UGUUACUUAUAAUUAAUGAAUUUUGGACUAGUAAUAAUAAUGAAAUUUAAUGGAUUUGGCGGCAAGAUAGCCAUUUAGAGGAACCUGCCCUGUAAACGAUGAACCACGAAUAAUUUUACUUUUAUUUGUAUUCAGUUUGUAUACCGCUGUUGUCAGUUAGUUUCUUUAGAAAACUUUCGUUCAUGAUAAGAUCACAGACUUCAAGUAAAGGUGCAGCUUAUAUAAAAGAGAGAGGUGGGUUACAUUUAAAAGAUUAAUAGCGGAUAAAAAUAUGAAAUAUUUUUUGAAGAUGGAUUUAAUUGUAAAGUUUAAAAAAACUUGAUGAGAGCUCUAUUUUGU
rnacentral:rRNA from 2 species